rnacentral:piRNA from 1 species
UAGGUGUUGUUUGACAAGGCUGUUGGCGC